AACGAACGCUGGCGGCAUGCCUAACACAUGCAAGUCGAACGAGACCUUCGGGUCUAGUGGCGCACGGGUGCGUAACGCGUGGGAACCUGCCCUUAGGUUCGGAAUAACUCCCCGAAAGGGGUGCUAAUACCGGCUAAUGUCUUCGGACCAAAGAUUUAUCGCGUUUGUAUGGGCCCGCGUUGGCUUACCUGGUUGGUAUGGUAAAAGCCUACCAAGGCGACGAUCCAUAGCUGGUCAGAGAGGAUCAUCAGCCACACCGGGACGGAGACACGGCGCAGACUCCUACGGGAGGCAGCAGUGGGGAAUAUUGGACAAUGGGCGGAAGCCUGAUCCAGCAAGGCCGCGUGAGUGAUGAAGGCCUUAGGGUUGUAAAGCUCUUUUACCCGGGAUGAUAAUGACAGUACCGGGAGAAUAAGCUCCGGCUAACUCCGUG
rnacentral:rRNA from 1 species